UACAUGUGGGGCAAGCGUUGUUCGGAAUUACUGGGCAUAAAGGGGGCGUAGGCGGUUUGUUAAGUCACUGGUGAAAGUUUUCGGCCCAACCGGAAAAUUGCCUGUGAUACGGGCGGGCUAGAGUUCGGUAGGGGAGACUGGAAUUCCUGGUGUAGCGGUGAAAUGCGCAGAUAUCAGGAGGAACACCGGUGGCGAAGGCGGGUCUCUGGGCCGAUACUGACGCUGAGGAGCGAAAGCGUGGGGAGCGAACAGG
rnacentral:rRNA from 1 species